UACGAAGGGGGCUAGCGUUGCUCGGAAUUACUGGGCGUAAAGCGCGCGUAGGCGGCUUUCUAAGUCGGGGGUGAAAUCCUGGAGCUCAACUCCAGAACUGCCUUCGAUACUGGAAAGCUCGAGUCCGGGAGAGGUGAGUGGAACUGCGAGUGUAGAGGUGAAAUUCGUAGAUAUUCGCAAGAACACCAGUGGCGAAGGCGGCUCACUGGCCCGGUACUGACGCUGAGGAGCGAAAGCGUGGGGAGCAAACAGG
rnacentral:rRNA from 1 species